rnacentral:lncRNA from 1 species
GUGCUUUGCAAUUGAUUUGCAGUGGUUUUGCAGUCAUUUUGCAAUAGAUUUGCAGCGUGCUUUGCACGGUGCAUUGCAUGGUGCUGUGCAUGGUGCAUUGCAGGUUGCAGCGCAUCCUCACCCAUGACGCCGGGGUUCUUCAUGAGCAGCACGAAGCCGUAGCGCAGCGUGGAGCUGAUGGUUUCGGUGCCGGCAAAGAACAGAUUCAGCGCCGUCAGCUCCAGCAGCUCCAGCAGCUCCUGGUCGUUGUAGUCGAAGCGGCUCCCGAACACCAUGGCACAAAUGAUGUUGGACACGGCGCGGCUCAGCAUGUACGUGGGGUCAAAGGGCUGCCCUAUGGGGGGGGGGGGGCAACAUCAG